AAUCCGCUUACGUCCUAGGGUAGAAACCAGGGGACCUUUGGCCUUAGCGUUUCAUAUGACCCUAGUUGGAUAAUUUAGUUGGGAAGUAAAGGGUUCACCAAGGGGGACGAUCCGAAAUUCAUUUAAAGGAUGGUCAAUUCGCAAUGGAAUUUCCACACGGUCCCAGACUCCUUUGGGAGGCAUCAGUGGGGCAAUUUUUGUCCGAGGGGGGAAAGCCUCAUUUCAGCAUACCCGCGGGUUUGAAGAAGGUCUUUGGAUUGGAAAACCACUUUAAAGUGGGGAGGAAGAGGCAUUAACAUAAUUUGUUAUUGUUUUGAUUGUUACCGACAGAAUAAGCCCCCGGCUAACUGUGUGCCAUCAGCCGCGGUAAUACAGAGGGGUGCAAGCGGGAAUUGGAAUUUCUUGGCGUAAAGCCCGCGUAGGUGGUUCGUUAAGUUUGAUGUGAAAUCCCCGGGCUCAACCGGGGAAGUUCAUUCUAAAAUGACAAAUAGAGUGUGGUAGAGGGGGGAGGAAUUUCCUCUGUAGCGGUGAAAUGCGUAGAUAUAGGAAGGAACACCAGUGAGGAAGGCG
rnacentral:rRNA from 1 species